AAAGUGCUUUCUUGUAUUGGCGU
rnacentral:miRNA from 1 species